rnacentral:rRNA from 1 species
AUUGAACGCUGGCGGCAGGCCUAACACAUGCAAGUCGAACGAGUGGCGGACGGGUGAGUAAUGUCUGGGAAACUGCCUGAUGGGGGGGGAUAACUACUGGAAACGAUAGCUAAUACCGCAUACCAUCAGAUAUGCCCAGAUGGGAUUAGCUCGUAGGUGGGGUAACGGCUCACCUAGGCGACGCUCCCUAGCUGGUCUGAGAGGAUGACCAGCCAAGCUGGAACUGAGACACGGUCCAGACUCCGACGGUAGGCAGCAGUGGGUAAUAUUGGACAAUGGGCGCAAGCCGGAUCCAGCCAUGCCGCGUGUGUGAAGAAGGUCUUCGGAUUGUAAAGCACUUUAAGUUGGGAGGCGUUACCAACAGAAUAAGCACCGUCUAACUUCGUGCCAGCAGCCGCGGUAAUAC